GGUAUGCUUCUUCGGAAGAGAGACCGGCGCACGGGUGCGUAACGCGUAUGCAAUCUACCUUUUACAGAGGGAUAGCCCAGAGAAAUUUGGAUUAAUACCUCAUAGCAUAGCAACUUCGCAUGAAGUCACUAUUAAAGUCACAACGGUAAAAGAUGAGCAUGCGUCCCAUUAGCUAGUUGGUAAGGUAACGGCUUACCAAGGCUACGAUGGGUAGGGGUCCUGAGAGGGAGAUCCCCCACACUGGUACUGAGACACGGACCAGACUCCUACGGGAGGCAGCAGUGAGGAAUAUUGGACAAUGGGCGCAAGCCUGAUCCAGCCAUGCCGCGUGCAGGAUGACGGUCCUAUGGAUUGUAAACUGCUUUUAUACAGGAAGAAACCCUGGUUCGUGAACCAGCUUGACGGUACUGUAAGAAUAAGGAUCGGCUAACUCCGUGCCAGCAGCCGCGGUAAUACGGAGGAUCCAAGCGUUAUCCGGAAUCAUUGGGUUUAAAGGGUCCGUAGGCGGUUUAGUAAGUCAGUGGUGAAAGCCCAUCGCUCAACGGUGGAACGGCCAUUGAUACUGCUAAACUUGAAUUAUUAGGAAGUAACUAGAAUAUGUAGUGUAGCGGUGAAAUGCUUAGAGAUUACAUGGAAUACCAAUUGCGAAGGCAGGUUACUACUAAUUGAUUGACGCUGAUGGACGAAAGCGUGGGUAGCGAACAGGAUUAGAUACCCCUGGUAGUCCACGCCGUAAACGAUGGAUACUAGCUGUUGGGAGCAAUCUCAGUGGCUAAGCGAAAGUGAUAAGUAUCCCACCUGGGGAGUACGUUCGCAAGAAUGAAACUCAAAGGAAUUGACGGGGGCCCGCACAAGCGGUGGAGCAUGUGGUUUAAUUCGAUGAUACGCGAGGAACCUUACCAAGGCUUAAAUGUAGUUUGACCGAUUUGGAAACAGAUUUUUCGCAAGACAAAUUACAAGGUGCUGCAUGGUUGUCGUCAGCUCGUGCCGUGAGGUGUCAGGUUAAGUCCUAUAACGAGCGCAACCCCUGUUGUUAGUUGCCAGCGAGUCAUGUCGGGAACUCUAACAAGACUGCCAGUGCAAACUGUGAGGAAGGUGGGGAUGACGUCAAAUCAUCACGGCCCUUACGCCUUGGGC
rnacentral:rRNA from 1 species